rnacentral:lncRNA from 1 species
UGAGUUAGUUACUGGACUUUGGCUUUCGAGAGCCUGAUUGAGCUCGACAGAGAUACGCUGCAUACUCGGUUGGGUAGCGCCCACGAGUGCCACUCCGGAGACGGGCUUUGUGCUUUCGCGUUGGUGUCGCUCAUGCCGGUUGGACUUGCUCUCUACGGACCUGUUAGUGUGGAGGUAGCUGGAUAGUCGCAACUGGGCAGGGACGGGUGUAUUCACAGUCCCAGGGACGGGUAUGUUUACAGUCCCGAUUGGAUUGGGUCAGAGUUGACAUUUCCUACAGUUGGUUAGUGUAGAGCAUGAUAGUGUAGUGAUUG